rnacentral:rRNA from 1 species
UACGUAGGGAGCGAGCGUUGUCCGGAUUCAUUGGGCGUAAAGCGUGCGCAGGCGGCUAUGCAAGACAGAUGUGAAAUCCCCGGGCUCAACCUGGGAACUGCAUUUGUGACUGCAUAGCUAGAGUACGGUAGAGGGGGAUGGAAUUCCGCGUGUAGCAGUGAAAUGCGUAGAUAUGCGGAGGAACACCGAUGGCGAAGGCAAUCCCCUGGACCUGUACUGACGCUCAUGCACGAAAGCGUGGGGAGCAAACAGG